rfam:Myotis davidii contig68705, whole genome shotgun sequence.
GGCAGUUCUCAGAUGACACACCCCGGAAUCGAGCUCCCUCCUUUCUGGUUCUGGGUGUGUCACCCAUGAACCUCA